rnacentral:rRNA from 1 species
ACUAUCAUUAACUGAAUCCAUAGGUUAAUGAGGCGAACCGGGGGAACUGAAACAUCUAAGUACCCCGAGGAAAAGAAAUCAACCGAGAUUCCCCCAGUAGCGGCGAGCGAACGGGGAGGAGCCCAGAGCCUGAAUCAGUGUGUGUGUUAGUGGAAGCGUCUGGAAAGGCGCGCGAUACAGGGUGACAGCCCCGUACACAAAAAUGCACAUACUGUGAGCUCGAUGAGUAGGGCGGGACACGUGGUAUCCUGUCUGAAUAUGGGGGGACCAUCCUCCAAGGCUAAAUACUCCUGACUGACCGAUAGUGAACCAGUACCGUGAGGGAAAGGCGAAAAGAACCCCGGCGAGGGGAGUGAAAAAGAACCUGAAACCGUGUACGUACAAGCAGUGGGAGCCUCUUUAUGGGGUGACUGCGUACCUUUUGUAUAAUGGGUCAGCGACUUAUAUUCUGUAGCAAGGUUAACCGAAUAGGGGAGCCGAAGGGAAACCGAGUCUUAACUGGGCGUUAAGUUGCAGGGUAUAGACCCGAAACCCGGUGAUCUAGCCAUGGGCAGGUUGAAGGUUGGGUAACACUAACUGGAGGACCGAACCGACUAAUGUUGAAAAAUUAGCGGAUGACUUGUGGCUGGGGGUGAAAGGCCAAUCAAACCGGGAGAUAGCUGGUUCUCCCCGAAAGCUAUUUAGGUAGCGCCUCGUGAAUUCAUCUCCGGGGGUAGAGCACUGUUUCGGCAAGGGGGUCAUCCCGACUUACCAACCCGAUGCAAACUGCGAAUACCGGAGAAUGUUAUCACGGGAGACACACGGCGGGUGCUAACGUCCGUCGUGAAGAGGGAAACAACCCAGACCGCCAGCUAAGGUCCCAAAGUCAUGGUUAAGUGGGAAACGAUGUGGGAAGGCCCAGACAGCCAGGAUGUUGGCUUAGAAGCAGCCAUCAUUUAAAGAAAGCGUAAUAGCUCACUGGUCGAGUCGGCCUGCGCGGAAGAUGUAACGGGGCUAAACCAUGCACCGAAGCUGCGGCAGCGACACUAUGUGUUGUUGGGUAGGGGAGCGUUCUGUAAGCCUGCGAAGGUGUACUGUGAGGUAUGCUGGAGGUAUCAGAAGUGCGAAUGCUGACAUAAGUAACGAUAAAGCGGGUGAAAAGCCCGCUCGCCGGAAGACCAAGGGUUCCUGUCCAACGUUAAUCGGGGCAGGGUGAGUCGACCCCUAAGGCGAGGCCGAAAGGCGUAGUCGAUGGGAAACAGGUUAAUAUUCCUGUACUUGGUGUUACUGCGAAGGGGGGACGGAGAAGGCUAUGUUGGCCGGGCGACGGUUGUCCCGGUUUAAGCGUGUAGGCUGGUUUUCCAGGCAAAUCCGGAAAAUCAAGGCUGAGGCGUGAUGACGAGGCACUACGGUGCUGAAGCAACAAAUGCCCUGCUUCCAGGAAAAGCCUCUAAGCAUCAGGUAACAUCAAAUCGUACCCCAAACCGACACAGGUGGUCAGGUAGAGAAUACCAAGGCGCUUGAGAGAACUCGGGUGAAGGAACUAGGCAAAAUGGUGCCGUAACUUCGGGAGAAGGCACGCUGAUAUGUAGGUGAAGCGACUUGCUCGUGGAGCUGAAAUCAGUCGAAGAUACCAGCUGGCUGCAACUGUUUAUUAAAAACACAGCACUGUGCAAACACGAAAGUGGACGUAUACGGUGUGACGCCUGCCCGGUGCCGGAAGGUUAAUUGAUGGGGUUAGCGGUAACGCGAAGCUCUUGAUCGAAGCCCCGGUAAACGGCGGCCGUAACUAUAACGGUCCUAAGGUAGCGAAAUUCCUUGUCGGGUAAGUUCCGACCUGCACGAAUGGCGUAAUGAUGGCCAGGCUGUCUCCACCCGAGACUCAGUGAAAUUGAACUCGCUGUGAAGAUGCAGUGUACCCGCGGCAAGACGGAAAGACCCCGUGAACCUUUACUAUAGCUUGACACUGAACAUUGAGCCUUGAUGUGUAGGAUAGGUGGGAGGCUUUGAAGUGUGGACGCCAGUCUGCAUGGAGCCGGCCUUGAAAUACCACCCUUUAAUGUUUGAUGUUCUAACGUUGGCCCCUGACCGGGGUUGCGGACAGUGUCUGGUGGGUAGUUUGACUGGGGCGGUCUCCUCCUAAAGAGUAACGGAGGAGCACGAAGGUUGGCUAAUCCUGGUCGGACAUCAGGAGGUUAGUGCAAUGGCAUAAGCCAGCUUGACUGCGAGCGUGACGGCGCGAGCAGGUGCGAAAGCAGGUCAUAGUGAUCCGGUGGUUCUGAAUGGAAGGGCCAUCGCUCAACGGAUAAAAGGUACUCCGGGGAUAACAGGCUGAUACCGCCCAAGAGUUCAUAUCGACGGCGGUGUUUGGCACCUCGAUGUCGGCUCAUCACAUCCUGGGGCUGAAGUAGGUCCCAAGGGUAUGGCUGUUCGCCAUUUAAAGUGGUACGCGAGCUGGGUUUAGAACGUCGUGAGACAGUUCGGUCCCUAUCUGCCGUGGGCGCUGGAGAACUGAGGGGGGCUGCUCCUAGUACGAGAGGACCGGAGUGGACGCAUCACUGGUGUUCGGGUUGUCAUGCCAAUGGCACUGCCCGGUAGCUAAAUGCGGAAGAGAUAAGUGCUGAAAGCAUCUAAGCACGAAACUUGCCCCGAGAUGAGUUCUCCCUGACUCCUUGA